rnacentral:rRNA from 1 species
GACGAACGCUGGCGGCGUGCUUAACACAUGCAAGUCGAACGGAAAGGCCCUGCGUUUGUGGGGCGCUCGAUUGGCGAACGCGGGAGUAACACGUGAGUAACCUGCCCUUGACUGUGGGAUAACUUCAGGAAACUGGGGCUAUUACCGGAUAGGAGCUCCUGCUGCACGGUGGGGGUUGGAAAGUUUCGGCGGUUGGGGCUGGUCUCGCGGCUUAUCCGCUGGUUGGUGGGGUAGGGGCUUACCAAGGCUUUGACGGGUAGCCGGCCUAAGAGGGUGACCGGCCACAUUGGGACUGAGAUACGGCCCAGACUCCUACGGGAGGCAGCAGUGGGGAGUAUUGCACAAUGGGCGGAAGCCUGAUGCAGCAACGCCGCGUGCGGGAUGACGGCCUUCGGGUUGUAAACCGCUUUCGCCGGUGACGAGGCGUGAGUGACGGUAAUGGGUAAAGAAGCACCGGCUAACUACGUG